rnacentral:rRNA from 1 species
UACGGAGGGUGCAAACGUUGCUCGGAAUCAUUGGGCGUAAAGCGCACGUAGGCGGCGAAGCAAGUUGGGUGUGAAAGCCCUGGGCUCAACCCAGGAAGUGCAUUCAAAACUGCUUCGCUUGAAUCUCGGAGGGGGUCAGAGAAUUCCCGGUGUAGAGGUGAAAUUCGUAGAUAUCGGGAGGAAUACCAGUGGCGAAGGCGGCUCUCUGGACCAGCACUGACACUGAGGCACGAAAGCGUGGGGAGCAAACAGG